rnacentral:rRNA from 1 species
ACGAACGCUGGCGGCGUGCUUAACACAUGCAAGUCGAACGGAAAGGCCCUGCUUUUGUGGGGUGCUCGAGUGGCGAACGGGUGAGUAACACGUGAGUAACCUGCCCUUGACUUUGGGAUAACUUCAGGAAACUGGGGCUAAUACCGGAUAGGAGCUCCUGCUGCAUGGUGGGGGUUGGAAAGUUUCGGCGGUUGGGGAUGGACUCGCGGCUUAUCAGCUUGUUGGUGGGGUAGUGGCUUACCAAGGCUUUAACGGGUAGCCGGCCUGAGAGGGUGACCGGCCACAUUGGGACUGAGAUACGGCCCAGACUCCUACGGGAGGCAGCAGUGGGGAAUAUUGCACAAUGGGCGGAAGCCUGAUGCAGCAACGCCGCGUGCGGGAUGACGGCCUUCGGGUUGUAAACCGCUUUCGCCUGUGACGAAGCGUGAGUGACGGUAAUGGGUAAAGAAGCACCGGCUAACUACGUG